rnacentral:rRNA from 1 species
UACGAAGGGGGCUAGCGUUGCUCGGAAUCACUGGGCGUAAAGGGUGCGUAGGCGGGUCUUUAAGUCAGGGGUGAAAUCCUGGAGCUCAACUCCAGAACUGCCUUUGAUACUGGCGAUCUUGAGUCCGGGAGAGGUGAGUGGAACUGCGAGUGUAGAGGUGAAAUUCGUAGAUAUUCGCAAGAACACCAGUGGCGAAGGCGGCUCACUGGCCCGAUACUGACGCUGAGGCACGAAAGCGUGGGGAGCAAACAGGG